rnacentral:rRNA from 1 species
GUCCACGCCGUAAACGAUGGAUACUAGCUGUUGGGCGCAAGUUCAGUGGCUAAGCGAAAGUGAUAAGUAUCCCACCUGGGGAGUACGUUCGCAAGAAUGAAACUCAAAGGAAUUGACGGGGGCCCCGCACAAGCGGUGGAGCAUGUGGUUUAAUUCGAUGAUACGCGAGGAACCUUACCAAGGCUUAAAUGUAGAUUGACCGAUUUGGAAACAGAUCUUUCGCAAGACAAUUUACAAGGUGCUGCAUGGUUGUCGU